GACGAACGCUGGCGGCGUGCCUAAUACAUGCAAGUCGAACGGAGUGGGGACGGGUGAGUAAAAAGUGGGUAACCUCCCAUCAGAGGGGAUAACACUUGGCAACAGGUGCUAACCCGCUACUGAUGGAUGCACCCGCGGUGCAUUAGCUAGUUGGAGGGGUAACGGCUCACCAAGGCCACGAUGCAUAGCCGACCUGAGAGGAUGAUCAGCCACACUGGAACUGAGACACGGCCCAGACUCCUACGGGAGGCAGCAGUAGGGAAUCUUCGGCAAUGGACGAAAGUCUGACGGAGCAAUGCCGCGUGAGUGAAGAAGGUUUUCGGAUCGUAAAACUCUGUUGGUAGAGAAGCGGUAUCUAACCAGAAAGCCACGGCUAACUCCGUGCCAGCAGCCGCGGUAAUAC
rnacentral:rRNA from 1 species